rnacentral:rRNA from 1 species
UACGUAGGGGCCUAGCGUUGUCCGGAAUUAUUGGGCGUAAAGAGCUCGUAGGCGGCUUGUCACGUCGAUUGUGAAAGCCCGAGGCUUAACCUCGGGUCUGCAGUCGAUACGGGCUAGCUAGAGUGUGGUAGGGGAGAUCGGAAUUCCUGGUGUAGCGGUGAAAUGCGCAGAUAUCAGGAGGAACACCGGUGGCGAAGGCGGAUCUCUGGGCCAUUACUGACGCUGAGGAGCGAAAGCGUGGGGAGCGAACAGG